UGCAAGCGCAUCUUUGUCUUGACAAGCAUCAAAGCAACAGACACGAGAGGCCUUCAUAAAACAUCAUUUGACGAAAUGGACCGAGCGGGAGACAAUGAAGUGCUGAGAUCAGCAAGGCACCUUUUGUCACUUUUGACACAAGAGAGAGCUGAUGGGUCUUCUACUAGUCAGGGUAUAAACAGAUCAUCUCAUGUUAGAGGACAAACUCCCGGGCCAUCUUCUGUCCAAACAGAAAUGACCAGGUCAGUAGAAACUGUAUAUAACAAUCCUCGCCUAUUAUGAAUCGUAAGUCUGUUCUGCCCUCUAGUUACAAUUU